rnacentral:ncRNA from 2 species
CAACAGGGAUUGCCUCAGUAACGGCGAGUGAAGCGGCAACAGCUCAAAUUUGAAAUCUGGCUCUCGGGCCCGAGUUGUAAUUUGUAGAGGAUGCUUUUGGUGAGGUGCCUUCCGAGUUCCCUGGAACGGGACGCCAUAGAGGGUGAGAGCCCCGUCUGGUUGGACACCGAUCCUCUGUAAAGCUCCUUCGACGAGUCGAGUAGUUUGGGAAUGCUGCUCUAAAUGGGAGGUAUAUGUCUUCUAAAGCUAAAUACCGGCCAGAGACCGAUAGCGCACAAGUAGAGUGAUCGAAAGAUGAAAAGAACUUUGAAAAGAGAGUUAAACAGUACGUGAAAUUGUUGAAAGGGAAGCGCUUGUGACCAGACUUGGGCUUGGUUGAUCAUCCGGGGUUCUCCCCGGUGCACUCUUCCGGCUCAGGCCAGCAUCAGUUCGCCCUGGGGGAUAAAGGCUUCGGGAAUGUGGCUCUCUCCGGGGAGUGUUA